rnacentral:tmRNA from 1 species
GGGGCUGAUUCUGGAUUCGACGGGAUUUGCGAAACCCAAGGUGCAUGCCGAGGGGCGGUUGGCCUCGUAAAAAGCCGCAAAAAAAUAGUCGCAAACGACGAAACCUACGCUUUAGCAGCUUAAUAACCUGCUUAGAGCCCUCUCUCUCUAGCCUCCGCUCUUAGGACGGGGAUCAAGAGAGGUCAAACCCAAAAGAGAUCGCGUGGAUGCCCUGCCUGGGGUUGAAGCGUUAAAACGAAUCAGGCUAGUCUGGUAGUGGCGUGUCCGUCCGCAGGUGCCAGGCGAAUGUAAAGACUGACUAAGCAUGUAGUACCGAGGAUGUAGGAAUUUCGGACGCGGGUUCAACUCCCGCCAGCUCCACCA